AACUGCAGAUAUGGAAUCACAGACCUGAACCAGGCAAAUAUUAGCCAAAAGAGAGCUGGCGUACUCAUGGAAUAUCAAACAAACGAGCUUCUCAGGAAAACAACAUUAUUAGGGUUUACCUUACGUGAAAGUGUUUGCCAGAGCCUCAACUCUCCAGGAAGAUAUAAUUCCAUAUUUAUAGACUUUAUUGAUAUAGCCUCCAAACAUAUGAAGACAAAUUGAUAAUAUAAGGAAAUCUGGGUGUACACACCAAAUCAUUUUCAAUUUAUUAUUUUCUGCCUGUUCCAUAUUUCAGUGUGUGUCUUGUCUUCCCAGCUACACUAUAAUAAAUAAGCGAUGAGCGGGUGGGGAGGCAGGAGGGAAGGGAGCUUUCGUGCAAUGACUUCCGCAAAAGGCUCUGGCCCAGCUUACAUACUCAUUGACUCCUUUGAGUUACCUGACCCUACAAAGUGGGAAUUGUUGUCUUUUUGUUGCAACAAGAGAGA
rnacentral:lncRNA from 10 species